rnacentral:lncRNA from 1 species
AUUCUGCAUAUACAGCGUAUGAUGCAAUGAACUUACAGAGCGCCCUUGCCAAGAACUAUUCCUCCAAAGUUCGGCCAUUUGAGACCACGUCAGUUGAUGUCAAUUUUGGGAUGAUGCACAUCACAGAACUGAAUAUCGUGCAGCAACAGUUACAUAUUGUCGGAUUCCUCCUUGUAGAAUGGACAGACAGCAGGCUGACAUGGACAGCAUCCGACUAAGGUGGCAUGAAUUCAACUUGCGUACAUCUUUCUGAUAUAUGGUCUCCUCCGUUAGUGCUUA